rnacentral:rRNA from 1 species
CCUACGGGAGGCAGCAGUGGGGAAUUUUCCGCAAUGGGCGAAAGCCUGACGGAGCAAUACCGCGUGAGGGAAGAAUGCCUACGGGUUGUAAACCUCUUUUAUCAGGGAGGAACAAAAUGACGUGUACCUGAUGAAUAAGCAUCGGCUAACUCUGUGCCAGCAGCCGCGGUAAGACAGAGGAUGCAAGUGUUAUCCGGAAUUACUGGGCGUAAAGCGUCUGUAGGUUGUUGAACAAGUCAACUGUUAAAUCUUGAAGCUCAACUUCAAAAUCGCAGUCGAAACUGUUUGACUAGAGUAUAGUAGAGGUAAAGGGAAUUUCCAGUGGAGCGGUGAAAUGCGUAGAUAUUGGAAAGAACACCGAUGGCGAAAGCACUUUACUGGGCUAUUACUGACACUCAGAGACGACAGCUAGGGUAGCAAAUGGGAUUAGAUACCCCAGUAGUCCUAGCCGUAAACUAUGGAUACUAGAUGUUGAACAGAUCGACCUGUGCAGUAUUAAAGCUAACGCGUUAAGUAUCCCGCCUGGGAAGUAUGCUCGCAAGAGUGAAACUUAAUGAAUUGAGCGUGAGAGUGCGACGACGACGACGAGGGAGGAGG